GAAACCACCUCUAGAAGGACAGGAAAAAUAAUAUAUAUUGAUUUCAUGAGUUCAAUAAAUCUAUUGAAAAUGAAAAACACCUUUUUUUAAUAAUGAUUUUGGCUGAAAAACAUGUAAGUGAAUGGAACUACUCAAUAGAAAAUACUACUAAAUUGGGCAUUGCCUAUACCUUAAAUUCUUAUCUAUUACAAAUUUACUAACACUUUGUUUGUUUUGAGGGCAGUGCGCAGAAAAGAAAAGAAAAAUCAUUUCCGUACUUUCUUUUGUUUGAAAAAGUUAUUAGAGAAACGAAA
rnacentral:misc_RNA from 1 species